rnacentral:lncRNA from 1 species
ACAUAGCAGGAAUAAUACUGCCUUUUCUUUCUGGCAUGGAUCAAGAGAAAAGAAAAUACAAGAAAACAGAGAGAAGCAAGGCAAGGUACUUCUAUAGAAGGGUGAGCCCUCACAGAUGGAGCAAUGGUGCACGCACACCUGAACAAGGGAGGGGAAGGAGUUCUUAUCCCUGAUGCAUGUGGCCCCUGCUGCUGUGUCCUUCCCCUAUUGGCUAAGGUUAGACCACACAGGCUAAACUAAUUCCGAUUGGCUAAUUUAAAGAGAGCGACGGAAUGAUUUAUAAUCAGCUAUAUAAUUUUGACACGUGCUCUCAAACUCAGGCUUCUGACAGCUUUGGAGAUUGUGACAUUGGAAUAAAGGAAAAACGUACAGGACUCAUGAAGAGCUGAAAUGUUCACAAAUAUCAAGCAAAAGUCAAUGAAAUUUAUUUUGAGCUAUUUACAGCGUUUAAUAAUUGAGCAAGCUAUACUCCUAUAAACAAAAUUUGGAGCAUGUUUGUCUCUCUCUGUCUGCCUGGCAUCUACAGAAUUUGGAAACUAGUUGUGCUGUACUGCAUGAGAAUGCCUGCAUUUAGUAUGCGAACUGGAAUUGGCAAAGGACGAUGGCUGCUCUCCCGCUAACUUUAAAUAAGUCAUGUCACAAAUUGCAUUCUUUCCCAGAUUUUCUAAACUUUCCAGAGAAAAUGGUCUUCUCCCUGGCUCAGCAAGAAGAUGAACUUUAAACACUGAGAAACUGGUCAUCUCCCUGGCUCAACCAGAAGAUGAACUUUAAACACUACUCUCAAUGACUUGAUGUUCCCAUCACUACUCCUGUCAUAAAGGGAGGGGACUCAGAUAUUGAGAAUUUUAUGAUAGUGUGAACUGUCUGGUAUGUCAUUUAAGUAAGCCCGUUGCUGACAUAUUUUCCAUGUUAUUAGAAAGAGCUGAAGAGAGGGUUUGAGAUGGCUUCUUUAUUUUUUGUCUUUUGGGAAUUAAAGGAACCUGGUUCAACAAGGGCCUACACCUAAGUCUCUUGUUGUACCAGAGUACAAUUUAGGACUGCUCCUGAGGAAGGAAUUAGCUAGAAAUCUAGAGAGUAAGGGUAACAGAUUUACAAUAGAAUAACAGCCUCAGUAUUUUUGGUUCCUCUCCAGUAAAGAUCACAAAGAAUAUUGCUAAAUCGCUAAAACACCUUUGCAAUAACGUAAGGGCUUACAACUAUACACCAAUGUAGCUCAGUUACUAAACUGGAGUAAAAUAAUUUCUCUUGUGUAGAAAAAUUGGUUGGCUGUGGUUUUAUAGCAGAUUUGCAAUUAUUAAUAGUUAUGCCAAUAAUCGUUUAACAGUGCAUAUGUUAAUAUGUAUGGAAAGACAAUGUGUAUAGACAGAUGUGUAAAAUUGAAAAAUAAACAUAUAACAAGAGAGAAACAUCUAUCGAACAGACAAUAUACAUACACAUUAAACACAACAGCAGUUUUAGUGACCACAAUAUUUAUUUCUCAUUUUUACAUUGGUUACUUUACUGACAACUGAAAAUGACAGUUGGCAAUGCAGCUAACAGUUUCAAUAAAAGUAUAAAACAAAA